AUUUUCUUACCCUUUAUGUAAAUGGAUUUGAACUUAUGAGUCCUUUCCAAGAAAGGACAGUCUGCAAACUUAAGCAAAUGUGCACAAAUAUCUGUAUAACUUCUCAAUUUUGCCAAACUACUGAAAACAUCCUCAGUGCAGUGUUAAAAAUGUCCAGAUGCUGCAAGAAAUCAGGCCUGUGCUGAAGUUACUCAGCAAGGCAAACUUCUGCAGAAGGAUGUGCUUCAGAACAGUGAACAGUCUGGCAAGCAAGCGUGUGUAGGCAGGUAGUCUGUCUGCUUUUAUCCAUAUCGGCACUGCGCUUGCUCUGAUAGAAGGAGUUCAGGGUUACCAUCUAUGUGAUUGGCUCUGAGGAGGGCAAAGGGAAGGGCUACAGUUAAAAUGGCUAGACUGGAUACAGGUUGGGAAUCUCAAACUAGCUCUGAUUGAAUCUUAAUAUCCCACUUUUACACUUAAGCCUAAAUACUAUGUUCUGAAAAUAGACCACCAGACUUUCUAUUUCUUAGGAGUGCAAAGCCAAGCUGUUUAACUGGUGAGGGAAGGGUCUUUUUUGAAGGGUAC
rnacentral:lncRNA from 1 species